UACGUAGGGGGCAAGCGUUAUCCGGAUUUACUGGGUGUAAAGGGAGCGCAGGCGGUACGGCAAGUCUGAUGUGAAAGCCCGGGGCUCAACCCCGGUACUGCAUUGGAAACUGUCGGACUAGAGUGUCGGAGGGGUAAGUGGAAUUCCUAGUGUAGCGGUGAAAUGCGUAGAUAUAAGGAAGAACACCAGUGGCGAAGGCGGCUUGCUGGACGACAACUGACGCUGAGGCGCGAAAGCGUGGGGAGCAAACAGG
rnacentral:rRNA from 1 species